rnacentral:rRNA from 1 species
GACGAACGCUGGCGGCGUGCCUAAUACAUGCAAGUCGAGCGGACCAAACAGGAGCUUGCUCUUGUUUGGUUAGCGGCGGACGGGUGAGUAACACGUGGGUAACCUGCCCGUAAGACCGGGAUAACUCCGGGAAACCGGAGCUAAUACCGGAUAACACCGAAGACCGCAUGGUCUUUGGUUGAAAGGCGGCUUCGGCUGCCACUUACGGAUGGGCCCGCGGCGCAUUAGCUAGUUGGUGAGGUAACGGCUCACCAAGGCGACGAUGCGUAGCCGGCCUGAGAGGGUGACCGGCCACACUGGGACUGAGACACGGCCCAGACUCCUACGGGAGGCAGCAGGAGGGAAUCUUCCGCAAUGGACGAAAGUCUGACGGAGCGACGCCGCGGGAGCGAAGAAGGUCUUCGGAUCGUAAAGCUCUGUUGUUAGGGAAGAAGAGGCGCCGUUCGAACAGGGCGGCGCGGUGACGGUACCUAACGAGAAAGCCCCGGCUAACUACGUG